rnacentral:tRNA from 1 species
GCUGAGUUGGUAGAGCAUGGUGUUUGCAACGCCAGGGUUGUGGGUUCGAUUCCCAC